AUGAUCAGGACAGCAUUUCAAGUGAGAGGGCUGGAGCGCACUCCUGGAAAAAGGAUCACUUUGCUGAGAGUAAAGUUGGUCAAACAUUCAGUGAAGCAAUCAGCCCUCUGCCUGCCUGAGAGGGAGCAAAAUUGGUUUGAAUGGACAGUUGAGGAACCAGAAAGUGUGAAGAUGUCAGAUUGUGUAUCUAGCGACUCCUAAGUUUUUCCCACAGAAGACAGUGCCCUUGCUUCUGAGGUGUUUGGGCAUAGCCAUGGAGGGGCCAGAGUCAAUCCUGCAGCAGUGGGUGUGUCAAGCUGGAGGGAAGCAGUCUCUCUGCCACCCCAUUGCCACAAUAAGGUGACAUGACUUCUGGAUGAAGAGUCCUACAAAUUUGUGCAGAAAAGAUUAAGUUCAGAAUGUCUUGUAGAAGCAUGUGACAAGUGGGGCAACACUGAUACACACUUUGGUCUCUUCUUAAAUAUCCAAUUAAGAAACUAGACUUGCUCUGAACUUAAACUUUUGCCAUGUGUGUCUUUUAACCAGCACUAAGUAGACUUUAGAAGUAAAAUAACAGCUGUCUAACAAAUUGAAAUGUGCUAAAAUAAACUCAUCAAAAAUGACUAGUCUGGAGUAGUUGUGUAUUAUGUAUGAGUUCAAAGUCUCAGGGUAUGUCUAUACUAUGAAAUCAGGUUGAUUUUUAUAGAAGUCAAUUUUUAGAAAUCAGUUUUAUACAGGCGAUUAUAUAUGUCCACACCAAGUGCAUUAAGUUGGUGGAGUGCAUCCUCAGUACUGUGGCUAGCAUUGAUUUAUGGAGCAGUGCACUGUGGGUAGCUAUCCCACAGUUCCUGCAGUCUCUGCUGCCCAUUGGAAUUCUGGGUUAAGCUCCCAAUGCCUAAUGGGGCAAAAACAUUGCUGUGGGUGGUUUUGGGUACAUGUCAUCUGUCAACCCACCCUCUGUGAAAGCACUGGCAGACCAUCAUUUUGCGCCUGACACCAGGGAGGCUUUGAAAACCAGUUUCAUGACUGUCCAGGCUUUGGUGUGACAGUUGUUUCUCCUUGAUGCAAACCCACCCCCUUUGUUGAUUUUAAUUCCCUGUAAGCCAACCACCCUCCCCCCAGCCCC
rnacentral:lncRNA from 1 species